rnacentral:rRNA from 1 species
UACGUAGGGGGCAAGCGUUGUCCGGAUUUAUUGGGCGUAAAGAGCGUGUAGGCGGUUUGGUAGGUCCGCUGUGAAAACUCGAGGCUCAACCUCGAGACGCCGGUGGAAACCAUCAGACUAGAGUCCGGAAGUGGAGAGUGGAAUUCCUGGUGUAGCGGUGAAAUGCGCAGAUAUCAGGAAGAACACCCGUGGCUAAGGCGGCUCUCUAGUACGGUACUGACGCUGAGACGCGAAAGCGUGGGGAGCGAACAGG